UCACCUCCGCAGGCUGCCGGCCCCCAGGCUGGGCUGGGCAAGUAUCUCUUUGAAAGGCUCACCCUCAAGCUGGCCUAGGAGC
rnacentral:pre_miRNA from 1 species